rnacentral:rRNA from 1 species
GACAGAGGGUGCAAACGUUUGUUCGGAUUUACUGGGCGUAAAGCGUGUGUAGGCGGCUUUGCAAGUCGGAUGUGAAAUCCCACGGCUCAACCGUGGAAGUGCAUCCGAAACGGCAUCGCUUGAGUCUCGGAGAGGAAGGUGGAAUGCUUGGUGUAGAGGUGAAAUUCGUAGAUAUCAAGCAGAACACCUGCGGCGAAGGCGGCCUUCUGGACGAUGACUGACGCUGAGACACGAAAGCGUGGGGAGCAAACAGG